GCUAGUGUGGCGGAGGGGGACGCGGAAGAGCUAAGUUCUUUUUACGGUAUUUAUUUACCUUCUAGUA
rnacentral:tRNA from 1 species